UAAGGAAUAUUGGACAAUGGGCGGAAGCCUGAUCCAGCCAUCCCGCGUGCAGGAUGAAGGCCCUCUGGGUUGUAAACUGCUUUUAUUGGGGAAGAAUUCUUAUUAUUCAUAAUGAGUUGACGGUACCCAAGGAAUAAGCACCGGCUAACUCCGUGCCAGCAGCCGCGGUAAUACGGAGGGUGCAAGCGUUAUCCGGAAUCACUGGGUUUAAAGGGUGCGUAGGCGGCCAGACAAGUCAGGGGUGAAAUAU
rnacentral:rRNA from 1 species